CGGGAUGUAGCUCAGUGGUAGGGCGCAUGCGUCGCAUGUGUGAGGCCCCGGGUUCAAUCCCCGGCAUCUCCA
rnacentral:tRNA from 1 species